GUAGGGGGCAAGCGUUGUCCGGAUUUAUUGGGCGUAAAGAGCGUGUAGGCGGCCAGACAGGUCCGUUGUGAAAACUCGAGGCUCAACCUCGAGACGCCGAUGGAAACCGUUUGGCUAGAGUCCGGAAGAGGAGAGUGGAAUUCCUGGUGUAGCGGUGAAAUGCGCAGAUAUCAGGAAGAACACCCGUGGCUAAGGCGGCUCUCUAGUACGGUACUGACGCUGAGACGCGAAAGCGUGGGGAGCGAACAGGAUUAGAUACCCUGGUAGUCCACGCCGUAAACGAUGGGUGCUAGGUGUGGGGGGUGUCGACUCCCUCCGUGCCGAAGCUAACGCAUUAAGCACCCCGCCUGGGGAGUACGGCCGCAAGGCUA
rnacentral:rRNA from 1 species